AGCAGCUCCAGCGUCCCCGAGGUCACAACUGUUUCAAUCCAGGAAUUAAAACGCUUUUUCCCUGCUGAGAAACCCAUUAUUCUCCAUAUCAGCAGAGCUUCCAAAGCACUUUGCGGGAAAGAUUGGAUUAUUGUUGGAUGACGAAACCGCCUGGAAAAGUUACGGGGACAGAUCCUUGGCAUGCAUCAAAGCCAAGAGCACCAGAUCCAGCGACGUGGAUGGGGAGGAGAGCCCCAGUGAGCAGAGCACAUAGCGAGCAGGCAUAGCACUUCGUUCCAUUGAAGAUGUAAUUCCAAGCGCCUGACAUCGCAGCAUUUCGUGGGGUGGGCUGAUGGAAAGGGGCUCAGGGAUCCGGAGCAGGGCGGUGAGGAAUGGUGUCGGAAACCACACGUUCACUUUAUUGAGAAGAGUGGUGAGAUGCCUAUAAAUCUUUCCAAGAGCAUUUCAGGAAACGAGCAGCAGUGUUCUUAGAAGGAAGCCAGUGCCAGCCAAGCUGAGAAAAUCUGGCUUGAGCAACGCAGAGAGAAGGAAGGAAUGGAGGAAGGAAGCCAGCCAGCAGGGAAGGUCGAGCUCCAAGUGUCCAGAACAUCCACUUUGCCAGAGACAACCUGUUGGUGCGCAUCAGGACGUUCAAGGCAUGCUCCAGCAAUCCCAUGGCCAACGCACACAACUGAAGUGACCACACAGGGCAUCCCUCCUCAGGCUGACCAUGGUCUGAUCUGUCUCCUCCAUGUGCUCGUGCCCAACUCCUGCUGAGCCCCAAGGAGCUGGAGGCAUUGCCCAAGGGAGCGAGGUGACUCCUUGGAGAACAACUCCAAAUGCUUACUCCAUUGGUUCCUAUUGCCUUUUAUCUCCGCACCGAUCCACCUCCUUGCGUUUUGCACAGUGUCAUUGGAAGCUGAAGCUCACAGUGGGCUCAGCAAUUAGUGGUAGCACAGAAAUAUAAGGCAAAAACAAGUCUUGCUAAUGAGCUGACACAUUAAACAAUGAGUCACACUUCCAUAAGGAGCCCAAAUCGAGUUAUAACCCUAAAUAAACAAGCUGUGAGAAACAGUUUAC
ensembl:lncRNA